rfam:Nippostrongylus brasiliensis genome assembly, scaffold: NBR_scaffold0000806
CCAACGGCCCUCUUCAGGGCCACAAAUAUGAGAACGAAUCUGACG